UACGUAGGGUGCAGGCGUUAAUCGGAAUUACUGGGCGUAAAGCGUGCGCAGGCGGUUUCUUAAGUCAGAUGUGAAAGCCCCGGGCUUAACUUGGGAACUGCCAUUGAUACUAUUUGUCUUGAAUGUCGUGGAGGUUAGCGGAAUAUGUCAUGUAGCGGUGAAAUGCUUAGAUAUGACAUAGAACACCUAUUGCGAAGGCAGCUAACUACGCGAAUAUUGACGCUGAGGCACGAAAGCGUGGGGAUCAAACAGG
rnacentral:rRNA from 1 species